GCCAGGUCCAAAGGUAAUCAGUUAUCUCAAUGGAUUGUUCACAGUCCGUUACAGAUCGAACUCCUUGUUCUACUCUUUCUCCCUUGUCACUACUGCACUUGAUUAGUCUUAA
rnacentral:Y_RNA from 1 species